GAUAAACGCUGGCGGCAGGCCUAACACAUGCAAGUCGAACGAAGUCUUCGGACUUAGUGGCGGACGGGUGAGUAACACGUGGGAACGUGCCUUUAGGUUCGGAAUAACUCAGGGAAACUUGUGCUAAUACCGAAUGUGCCCUUCGGGGGAAAGAUUUAUCGCCUUUAGAGCGGCCCGCGUCUGAUUAGCUAGUUGGUGAGGUAAAGGCUCACCAAGGCGACGAUCAGUAGCUGGUCUGAGAGGAUGAUCAGCCACAUUGGGACUGAGACACGGCCCAAACUCCUGCGGGAGGCAGCAGUGGGGAAUCUUGCGCAAUGGGCGAAAGCCUGACGCAGCCAUGCCGCGUGAAUGAUGAAGGUCUUAGGAUUGUAAAAUUCUUUCACCGGGGACGAUAAUGACGGUACCCGGAGAAGAAGCCCCGGCUAACUUCGUGCCAGCCGCCGCGGUAACAC
rnacentral:rRNA from 1 species